rnacentral:rRNA from 1 species
GACGAACGCUGGCAGCGUGCUUAACACAUGCAAGUCGAACGGUAAGGCCCUUCGGGGUACACGAGUGGCGAACGGGUGAGUAACACGCGGGUGAUCUGCCCUGCACUUCGGGAUAAGCCUGGGAAACUGGGUCUAAUACCGGAUAGGACCACUGCCUGCAUGGGUGGUGGUGGCAAGCUUUUGCGGUGUGGGAUGGGCCCGCGGCCUGUCAGCUUUUUGGUGGGGUGAUGGCCUACCAAGGCGACGACGGGUAGCCGGCCGGAGAGGGUGACCGGCAACACUGGGACUGAGAUACGGCCCAGACUCCUACGGGAGGCAGCAGUGGGGAAUAUUGCACAAUGGGCGCAAGCCUGAUGCAGCGACGCCGCGUGAGGGAUGACGGCCUUCGGGUUGUAAACCUCUUUCAGCACCGACGAAGCGCAAGUGACGGUAGGUGCAGAAGAAGGACCGGCCAACUACGUGCCAGCAGCCGCCGUAA